GACGAACGCUGGCGGCGUGCCUAAUACAUGCAAGUUGAGCGCUGAAGGUUGGUACUUGUACCAAAUGGAUGAGCAGCGAACGGGUGAGUAACGCGUGGGGAAUCUGCCUUUGAGCGGGGGACAACAUUUGGAAACGAAUGCUAAUACCGCAUAAAAACUUUAAACACAAGUUUUAAGUUUGAAAGAUGCAAUUGCAUCACUCAAAGAUGAUCCCGCGUUGUAUUAGCUAGUUGGUGAGGUAAAGGCUCACCAAGGCGAUGAUACAUAGCCGACCUGAGAGGGUGAUCGGCCACAUUGGGACUGAGACACGGCCCAAACUCCUAAGGGAGGCAGCAGUAGGGAAUCUUCGGCAAUGGACGAAAGUCUGACCGAGCAACGCCGCGUGAGUGAAGAAGGUUUUCGGAUCGUAAAACUCUGUUGGUAGAGAAGAACGUUGGUGAGAGUGGAAAGCUCAUCAAGUGACGGUAACUACCCAGAAAGGGACGGCUAACUACGUG
rnacentral:rRNA from 1 species